CCGACACAGGUGGAGGGAGAAGAGCAGAGUGACACAGGCCACCAGCAGAGCUCUGGGAGUCGCAGGAUCAAACCCUUGCAGAGUCGCAUCCAUGAUGGAGAUCCUGCGGAGGAAAUUACAUGUGCAGAUCUGGGUUCUGCUCAGGUCUGGUUUGACGGGUGUCUGGACCCUGUUCAGCACCACGGAGAGCGGCUUUCCUCUGGCCUCCUCCAGACCUGUCACCCUCCGGCUCUGCCACAGACUGCAGACACGUUUUUAUUGUCGUGAUUUCAGCUUCUUUUUUUAAAAAACAAACAAACAACAACAACACGCAUUUAAAGACAAUAGACUUUAUUAAAUAAAUACGUUAGAUAAAAUCCAGCCAGUUGAUUGCUCCCAAAAAUAUUGAUAAGUGAAUAUCUUUUAGUAAAAUUUAGGACUUAUGCAGAGCAGAAAAUAUCUGAAUUUCAGUGUUAUAACGAGAAUUGCAGAUCAUUAAAGAACUUUUAUAUUUUGGCUGUAUAAUUAUGAAAAAAAGUCACGUUUUUGUGAAGCAAAAUUCUCAGUUUUCUGUGUUUAAUCAUGCUUUUAAGAGCUCUCCUGUGGCCUAAAACAGUAUUAACUAGCAGCAACAACAAAAAAUAAUUACUAUAAAUGACUAAUUUCAGCGUUAUAAAUAUGUCCAAAUUAAAUUACUUAAUUAUUAUUGUUUUUACUCAGCUGUACAUUCUAAAACCAAGUAUAUUUAGGUGAAGUGAAUUGAAAGCAGAUGUACUUACUGAGUCUGCAGGCCUCUCCUGGUCUCAUGAACGUCUGCCAUGGUGGCACUGUGGGAUCUUCCUUUAUUCAAAAUGUGAACGAUCUGUGAGGGUGGAGACAAACUGGUGGCCUGGCCUCAUUUACUGCCACUUAUUAGAAUAAAGCCCAGCAGCUCCCCUGCCUUUUACUCCAUAAGGUAUUUCAGUGAAAUGCUCUAAUCCUCUUAUCUGACAAGCAGUACUUAUUGACACUGUAUGAUAAAGAUUUAAUUAUAUUGAAUUUAAAUUAACAUGUAAUGGUUGCAAUAUUUUAUUAUAUUCCUAUUUAAAGUAAAUGUUGAAGUAGCCGCAACAUUUUCACGUUUUCAUUAGAUGUCUCACAUACACACACACACAGUCUGUUGUGUGUGUGAGGUCAGUGGUUGAAACUGGUGAUCCUGAACAUCCUCGUGGUCACAAGACUGACUUUUGUUGCUCAGUGGGUCUUUGGUUCAACAAUGGCCACAUGCUCCUUGUGGAAUAGUGAUCAAAAUGGGAACUGAAUUUAAAAAAAAAAAAAAAAAAAGAUCAUUUAUUUUAGACAGGCACUUCAAACAUUAACCUUUAAAAUUGCUGUGUCUUCAUGAUAUCCUUUGUUCUGAAUUGAGAAGUAAUAGAUUUGGUCUUUUUCAUUCAAGACAUCCAUCCCAAUGCAGCUGAAGUAUUCUUUUUUGUUGAAAUGAAUUACCCCAUGACAUCACUUGUUUAGUGGGAUUAACUGUCAGACCACUACAGCUUGGACAGGGAAUCAUAAAAACAAACAAAAACAUCUCAUGAGGCUUUUGAGCAUUUGAAAUUCAUCUCUUUUUUAAAGUUAUUGUUUGGGUCUUUUUACCUUUAUAUAUAUAUAUAUAUAUAUAUAUAUAUAUAUAUAUGGCAUGCCGUUUAGGAAAUUAUAUAUAUAAUGAAAGUCGAUAUAUAUAUAAUGAAACUUGAUAUAUAUAUAAUGAAAGUCGAUAUAUAUAUAAUGAAACUUGAUAUAUAUAUAAUGAAAUUUGAUAUAUAUAUAAUGAAAGUCGAUAUAUAUAUAAUGAAACUUGAUAUAUAUAUAAUGAAAGUCGAUAUAUAUAUAAUGAAACUUGAUAUAUAUAUAAUGAAAGUCGAUAUAUAUAUAAUGAAACUUGAUAUAUAUAUAAUGAAAGUCGAUAUAUAUAUAAUGAAACUUGAUAUAUAUAUAUAAUGAAACUUGAUAUAUAUAUAAUGAAAGUCGAUAUAUAUAUAAUGAAACUUGAUAUAUAUAUAUAAUGAAAGUUGAUAUAUAUAUAAUGAAACUUGAUAUAUAUAUAAUGAAACUUGAUAUAUAUAUAUAAUGAAAGUCGAUAUAUAUAUAAUGAAAGUUGAUAUAUAUAUAUAAUGAAAGUUGAUAUAUAUAUAAUGAAAGUCGGAAUAUAGAAUGUUCAGAUUUUCAUUCCAUCUAUUCAAAGUUUCAUUCCAUAUAUUCAGACUUUUUCCUACUGAGCCCUGGAAGGACAUGGCAAACAAAAACAGGAACCUUAUUGGACAUUUGCUCUUCAGAUGAGCUCUUCUGUGAUUAUCUAUCUGUCUUCAUGGUUGUCACAGGGAACGGCGACUACGUUUGAGAAAACAGCUGGUCUUAAGGCUAAUUACGAGGCAGAGGUCAGCUGCUGCCUGGACACAUCCAUGAUCACGCCACUGGUGGGACACAAUUGCACUGGAUUUCAGCUGAAGGCUGCUGUUCUGUCCAAACUGAGACAUUUUUAUUGUGACAUACCCUCCACUGUUGUUAGCUUUUGAUUCAAUAAAUUUUUUUGAGAUGAGGAAAUCA